GACGAGGGCGCGAGCGUGUCCGGAUUUAUUGGGCGUAAAGAGCUCGUAGGCGGCUUGUCGCGUCGACUGUGAAAACCCGUGGCUCAACCAUGUGGUCUGCAGUCGAUACGGGCAGGCUAGAAUUCGGUAGGGGAGACUGGAAUUCCUGGUGUAGCGGUGAAAUGCGCAGAUAUCAGGAGGAACACCGGUGGCGAAGGCGGUUCUCUGGGCCUUACCUGACGCUGAGGAGCGAAAGCGUGGGGAGCGAACAGG
rnacentral:rRNA from 1 species